GAAUAAAAGAUUAAGGAAUGGUGAGAGAGACUGAGGAACCCUCUUUCUUUUCCUCUUCCUCACAAAAAUCAAAAUAUUAUGAUCAUCUCUCGCAAAUGCAUAACUAACCUUUCACCUUCCAUUUUUUAAUAUCUCUUCUCUAAUCCCCAAUUCAUUUUCCCCACUUUUGUUGUUUCUUCACCUUCUCUCAUUCCUUCAGUUUUCACACUUACGACUCAUACUCUCAUUCUCGUCACUGGAAGAGAAAUCUUUGAAAUUUAGGGGUGUUCUACAUUUUGGGAACCAGUGGUAAAAGUAAUUGCUAGCUGAUUACAAAUGGCACCCAAUAAAAAAGUGGUAGCGGCCUAUCGUGCAAUGGGAAGUCUUGGAAUUGAUGAGUCGAAAGUGAAAUCAGCGUUAAAGAAACUCCUCAAAGUGUUUGACAAAAACUGGGAACUUAUAGAGGCAGAGAACUAUAGAGUUCUAGUAGAUGCUAUAUUUGAGGAGGACGAUACUAUGGUGCCCGAAGUGAAAAAAAAGAAAGUCCAGUCUGACGAUGUACAUGACACUCAUCAUUCUUUGUCUUCCUUUUCAAACAACCAGGAAGAGGAGACAGAGUGUGAAGAGGCUCAGAUGCAUAAUGAAAGAGCCCAACCUUUAAAAAGGCUCCGAUUAAGAGGCCAGGACAGUCAGCCUUUGCAUCCUCUGACUAACAUUUCCACCAGCCCUCCUUCAAAAAGGCCAAAAUUAGAAGAUAAUGCAUUACACCAGGGUUCUUCUGGGAAGAAACCUCAAAACAAGCCAGAGUCAUCUGAUGGGAAUCCAAGGAUUGAAGCACCGUUACUUAGACCACCAGAUGACAUUGUUGAUAAGGGAAAGCAACCUGCAUCAGCCCAAGUUUUGCAAAGAGGAAGAAAACUUACUUCUGGAAGAUCGUCCCCAUCCACACCAUCUAAAGAACGAACAGUUGAAGCGGGGAAGCUUCUGAUGCCAAACAACAUAAUACCUCGUACUCAGGCACUUAUCAUACCCAAGGACGAGCCUAUUGAUGAAGUGCCUGAUUAUGCAAUGCCCAUUGCAGUGAUUCCUCCUGAACCAUCAAGCGCAAGGGACUCAUCAUUCAAGAACGGUGUAGCUGGAAAGCAUGUCAGCCAUGAUGAUACUGUGGCAUCACCAGCACGCAGAAAAAGAGUCAGUGAUGAAGAUGUUCUUCCUACCUCAAAUGAAGAAGCCACUUGUAAUGUAGAGAUAGCCUCAUCAACUCUUGGAGAGGUAAAACUUUCUUUGAGCUGCAGCUCAGCACUUUGGGGAUCAAAUUUUCACAUGCCUAGUCAAGAUGAACUUAUAGAAAUGAUGGAGGAGAAAUGUUUGCGAUCAUAUAAAAUUGCUGACCCAAAUUUCUCUGUCAUGAAACUUUUGAGGGAUGUAUGCGAUUGCAUGUUGGAAUUCAGAAACAAUUCUAAUAAUGAUCCAGAAGAAGGUUCUUUAGUGACAUCCAAUGUUGAUGUGUCGAAGGAAUCACAAGAACCUGGCACACUGAGUGUGGAAAGAAACAAAGAUUUGGACAUCCAUUCUCAUGUUUCAAAUGGAUCCAUCAAUGUUAAUCCUUCUGCUGCAUUGGCUUCUCCCCGAAGUUUCCUUCCUCAUGCUGACCUGAAUGGUCUGAAUGAUGCUGUCUUGGUUUCCAUGAAGGACCAAACAACAAAUGAUUUUUCACAAUGUAAUGUAAAGAAGGAGCUGGAAGAUUCUAUGUCUCCAAAUUCACAUAGUUUAGUGAUUGUUCCACAGCAUCAGCUGACAGCUGAUGAUAUAAGGUCUUUAUAUGAUGUUAAUGACCUUACAAAAGGAGAAGAAAAUGUUGAAAUUUCUUGGUUGAAUGAUUAUACUAAUGAUUUCCCAUCAUCCUUUAACUACAUACCCCGGAACCUUGUGUUCCAAGAUGCUUAUGUUAACAUUUCUCUAUCACGUAUUGGCAGUGAGGACUGUUGUUCAACUUGUAUGGGCAAUUGUGUCUUGUCCACACCUUGUGCUUGUGCAAAUAAAACUGGUGGUGAAUUUGCUUAUAGUUCUCAAGGCCUACUGAAGGAACAAUUUUUGGAAGAGUGCAUUACCAUUAGUCGCAAUCCACAAAACCAUUUCUUUUAUUGUAAAAUUUGCCCACUUGAAAGAUCUAAGAAUGAUGGUGGUUUAGAACCUUGUAAAGGACACUUAAAGAGGAAGUUUAUUAAAGAAUGCUGGAGCAAAUGUGGCUGUGGAAAACAGUGUGGAAAUCGGAUUAUCCAGCGAGGAAUAACUUGCAAAUUGCAGGUGUUUUUCACUUCAGAAGGUAAAGGAUGGGGUCUUCGUACCUUAGAGGACCUGCCUAAAGGUGCAUUUGUAUGUGAGUUUGUUGGAGAAAUUUUAUCCAUUAAAGAGUUGCACGAGAGGAACAUGAAAUGCACUGGAAAAGGGAAACAUACAUACCCAGUACUACUGGAUGCAAAUUGGGAUUCAGGAUAUAUGAAGAACAAAGAAGCUUUAUGUUUGGAUUCAGCUUCGUUUGGCAACAUUGCUAGGUUUAUCAAUCACAGAUGUUUUGAUGCAAACUUGGUUGAGAUCCCAGUUGAAGUUGAGGAUCCUGGUCAUUAUUACUACCAUUUUGCUUUUUUCACUUCCAGAAAAAUUGCAGCACUUGAGGAGCUAACAUGGAAAUUAUUUGGUAGUUGCUUAUGGCUAUUAAAUUAAUUGGGUAGUUGCCAGUCCAUUGAGAAUGGUUGUAAACUUUUACUGACUUGUGUCUUCUCAUUUUCUGGAGUUCACUUCAUGCAAAAUCAUUUAAUUAAUCUUGGAAUCAAAUUUUCUCUGUAAAAGCUAAUAUGUUACUGCAGGAUUAUGGCAUCGACUUUGAUGAUCAUGAUCAUCCUAUCAAGCUAUUCCAGUGCAGUUGUGGCAGUAAAUUCUGCAGGCAUAUGAAGAGGUCAAACAGAUCCAGUAGAUCUGCGUCAAUUUCCGGGUGAUGAUAAGUCUUUUCUCCGUGGAACCAAUUUUGAUGUCUCACCGCGCUUCGACGAGUUGUACUACAAGUGGUUCCUUUUGUUUUUUAGUUAGUGGAUGGUAGACAUUUUGUAUAGAUGGUUGAAAACUAUGUGUCCUACGAAAGAGUUGUCGUUCAUUUUGGGAUUUAUUUCGGAAAACUUAUUGUGAGGGGUUCAAACUCAGAAAAGACCAAAAUGGAUGUUCGAAAAAAAAAAACAGCUAUAUGUAGUUUAUAGCUGCAGCGCGUGUGGGGCUUGAUAUCUCUUGUUAAUAUUAACGUACUUUCGUUGGAAUUUCAUGUUAUGAAAUAUUUAUUAGAAUUGUAUGCUUUUUGUUUGAA